rnacentral:rRNA from 1 species
GACAAAUAAAUUUCCCCAAAAACACAAAGUUUUGGUCCUAAACUUGCCGUUGUUUUUAAUCAAAAUUACACAUGCAAGCAUCCGCACACCAGUGAGAAUGCCCUAUAAAGUACCAAGGAGCAGGUAUCAGGCACAACCAAUUAGCCCAAGACACCUUGCUAUGCCACACCCACACGGGCACCCAGCAGUGAUAAAUAUUAAGCAAUGAGUGAACAACCAAUUCAAAGCUCGACUUAGUUAUGAAUACAAGGGCCGGUCAACCUCGUGCCAGCCACCGCGGUUAUACGAGGGGCCCAAAACAUCGGACAUCGGCGUAAAUUAUGGCUAGAGAAACCACUUACAACAUGGGAAAUAAACACAAACCCAACCGUAAAACCCGGGACAAAAGAAACUUAAAUUCCCAAUUACAAAGUAACUUGAAUCCAUGAAGACUAAGAAACAAACUAGGAUUAGAUACCCUACUAUGCUUAGUUGUUAACACGACAUUAAACAACACUAAUGUCCGCCAGAGGAUUACGCGCGAAAGCUUAAAACUCAAAGGACUUGGCGGUGCUCCGUAUUCGCCUUANAGGAGCCUGUCCUAUAAUCGAUACUCCACGCUUUACCUACCAUCUUUUGUAAAACAGCCUAUAUACCGCGAAACUUACCC